AAUAUUUGAUGGGCUGUUUAUAAUCAAAGCCAUCUCCCCGCCCUUAAGAAGAGCCAUCAGGACCGUCGGUACAAGGUCCUGCAUCUACUGAAACCAACAGCUAUGCAGCAUUCUGUUAGGAGAGAGAAGAGAGAGAGAGAGGCCAUGACUUUGUUUGGUAUCCACGAAUUGGCGCGAAUGCAGUGGAGAAAACACCGAACUGGAAGGCCAUCGCGAAGAAUGUCAGCCUCUCAACGCCAAUCGAUCUCUCUUCACCACAUUCAGUUCCACUCACUCCCACAUUUUUUUCAUUUUCCUGCAUUUCGCUUUCUCUCUCCUCAAGCUUCCGCAGGAAAAAUUUGCAUUGCAUUUAUCGUUGAUAAGCUCUUGAUCUGGUUUGAUUUGUGUCAAAAAAUUAGGGUUUUCUGUCCUCUUUGGCCCUGCUUUAUCCAAUUAUCGUUAAUUUUUGGGGGGACCGUGUUUUCUUGCUGGAUCUCAGUCGGCCAUGGUUAUGGUUCGAGUGUUUCAAUUCCUGAUACAGCAAGAUCUGAUGGAGAAAGAAGUUGUUUGCCAAUAAACUUUUCAUUGAAAGCUUAAAAAUGGGAACUCCUGUCAACAUCAUUGUAGGUUCUCAUGUCUGGAUUGAAGAUCCAGAACAAUCUUGGAUUGAUGGACAGGUAUCAAAGAUUACCGGGAAAGAUGCUGAGAUUGAAACUAGCAAUGGGAAGAAGGUUGUUGCAAACUUAUCAAAAAUAUAUCCAAAAGAUAUGGAACAUCCUGCUGGUGGAGUUGAUGACAUGACAAAGCUAUCUUAUUUACAUGAGCCUGGUGUUCUGCAGAAUCUGAAAACAAGAUAUGAACUGAAUGAAAUCUAUACCUAUACUGGGAAUAUACUUAUCGCCAUAAAUCCAUUCCAAAGAUUGCCUCAUAUUUAUGAUGCUCAUAUGAUGCAACAAUACAAGGGAGCACCAUUUGGAGAACUAAGUCCGCAUGUUUUUGCGGUUGCUGAUGUUGCAUAUAGGGCAAUGAUUAAUGAGGGUAAAAGCAAUUCAAUUCUAGUCAGUGGUGAAAGUGGAGCUGGUAAAACAGAGACGACGAAAAUGCUUAUGCAGUACCUUGCCUUUUUGGGAGGUCGAGUUGCUACUGAAGGAAGAACAGUGGAACAACAAGUUCUUGAAUCAAAUCCAGUCCUUGAAGCAUUUGGUAAUGCUAAAACCGUUAGAAAUAACAAUUCGAGUCGUUUUGGUAAAUUCGUGGAGAUACAGUUUGAUAAGCAUGGAAGAAUUUCAGGAGCCGCCAUUAGAACUUAUCUUCUAGAGAGAUCUCGAGUAUGCCAAGUAUCAGAUCCCGAGCGUAACUACCAUUGCUUUUACCUUCUUUGUGCCGCGCCACAGGAGGAAGUUGAGAAGUACAAGUUGGGAAACCCAAAAUCAUUCCACUAUCUUAACCAAUCAAACUGCUAUGAAUUGGUCGGUGUAAGUGAUGCCCAUGACUAUCUAGCCACUAGGAGAGCAAUGGAUAUUGUUGGAAUAAGUCAAAAGGAUCAGGAAGCAAUUUUCAGAGUUGUUGCUUCAAUACUUCAUCUCGGAAAUCUUGUAUUCUCUAAGGGAAAGGAUGCUGAUUCAUCAGUUUUGAAAGAUGAUCAGGCAAAAUUCCAUCUCAAAAUGACAUCAGAGCUUCUCAUGUGUGAUGCUCAGGCCCUAGAAGAUGCAUUAUGUAAGCGUGUCAUGAUCACACCUGAGGAAGUUAUAAAGCGAAGCCUUGAUCCUCAAAGUGCCGCAAUUAGCAGGGAUGGUUUAGCUAAGACAAUAUAUUCUCGAUUAUUUGACUGGCUGGUGGAUAAAAUUAACAACUCAAUUGGACAAGAUCCUAACUCAAAACAAUUGAUUGGGGUUCUUGACAUCUAUGGUUUUGAAAGCUUUAAAACUAACAGUUUUGAGCAAUUUUGUAUUAACUUCACAAAUGAGAAGCUGCAGCAGCAUUUCAACCAGCAUGUCUUCAAGAUGGAACAAGAGGAAUACACAAAGGAAGCAAUUGACUGGAGCUAUAUUGAGUUUGUUGAUAACCAAGAUGUCUUGGAUCUUAUUGAAAAGAAACCUGGUGGAAUCGUUGCUCUCCUUGAUGAAGCUUGUAUGUUUCCAAAGUCAACACAUGAAACAUUCGCAAAUAAGCUUUAUCAGACAUUUAAGACUCACAAGCGAUUUGUCAAACCAAAACUAUCUCGCACAGAUUUUGCCAUUGCUCAUUAUGCCGGGGAGGUCCUGUAUCAGUCUGACCAGUUUCUAGACAAGAACAAGGAUUAUGUGGUUCCUGAGCAUCAAGAUUUGUUGGGCGCUUCCAAAUGUCCUUUUGUUGCAGGGCUUUUCCCUCCACUUCCUGAGGAAACAUCUAAAUCGUCAAAAUUUUCCUCCAUCGGUUCCCGUUUUAAGCUUCAACUACAACAGUUAAUGGAUACACUGAAUUCUACAGAACCUCACUACAUCAGAUGUGUCAAGCCAAACAACCUGCUAAAACCUGCCGUAUUUGAGAAUGUCAACAUCAUGCAACAACUGCGUUGUGGCGGUGUUUUAGAGGCAAUCAGAAUCAGUUGUGCUGGAUACCCCACUCGCCGCCCUUUCUUUGAAUUCAUAAACAGAUUUGGGCUUCUUGCCCCAGAAGUUCUGGAGGGAAACUAUGAUGAAAAGGUUUCUUGCCAAAAGAUUUUGGAAAAGAAGGGGCUUAAAGGGUUUCAGAUAGGUAAAACAAAGGUAUUUUUAAGAGCUGGACAGAUGGCUGAGCUAGAUGCGCUGAGAGCUGAGGUACUCAGUAAUGCUGCAAAAACUCUCCAGAGACGUAUACGAACUCAUAUUGCUCGCAAACGAUUUAUUGCACUGCAGAAGGCUAGUAUACUAUUGCAAUCAAUGUGUAGAGGAAGACUGGCUUGCAAACUAUAUGAACACAUGAGAAGAGAGGCAGCUGCUAUCACAGUUCAAAAGCAUGUACGCAAAUACGAAGCUAGAAAAGCCUAUAAAAAACUGCAUGUUGCUGCACUUGUCUUGCAAACAGGUUUAAGGGCAAUGACUGCUCGUAAAGAAUUCAGAUUUAGGAAACAAACUAAAGGCGCAACAAUUAUUCAGGCCAGGUGGCGCUGUUAUGCAGCUGCCUCAUACUAUAAGAGGCUCAAGAGAGGAUCUAUUGUCACACAAACAAGAUGGAGGGGCCGGAUUGCCAGGAAAGAGCUUAGGAAGCUCAAAAUGGCUGCAAGAGAAACUGGUGCUUUAAAAGAAGCAAAGGAUAAACUUGAAAAAAGCGUAGAGGAACUAACUUGGCGUUUAUCGUUGGAAAAGCGUCUAAGGACAGACCUUGAAGAAGCAAAGGCCCAGGAGAUAGCAAAAUUGCAGAACUCCUUGCAAGAAAUGCAGAACAAAAUUGAUGAAUUAAACACAUUAGUGGUCAAGGAACGAGAAGCUGCAAAGAAGGCUAUUGAUGAAGCACCUCCUGUCAUAAAAGAAACCGAAGUUCUUGUUGAAGAUACCAAAAAGGUUGAGUCUCUGACAGCAGAAGUGGAAAUUUUGAAGGACUCUUUGGAUAAAGAGAAACAAAGAGCUGAUGAUUCUGAAAGGAAAUACAAUGAAGCUCAAGAGGCCAGCGAAGAGAGACAGAAAAAAUUAGAAGAAACAGAUAAAAAGCUUCAUCAACUUCAGGAAACCUUGCAAAGGCAAGAAGAGAAGCUUACCAAUUUAGAAUCAGAGAACCAAGUUCUACGCCAACAAGCUGUAUCUAUGGCAUCCAACAAAUUCCUUUCAGGACGCUCCAGAUCAAUCAUGCAGAGGGUUGAAAGUGGGCAUAUCUCAGGCGAUGUAAAGGCAGCUGCGGAUUUACAUAGUGCUUCAAUAAACCAUAGGGACCUAUCUGAAGUGGAAGAGAAACCACAAAAAUCACUGAAUGAGAAACAGCAGGAGAAUCAAGAAUUGCUCAUUCGAUGUAUCGCCCAACACUUGGGCUUUGCAGGGAACAGACCAAUUGCUGCCUGUAUCAUAUACAAAUGCCUCUUGCAGUGGAGAUCAUUUGAAGUUGAGAGGACAAGUGUCUUUGAUCGCAUAAUUCAGACGAUAGGCAAGGCUAUUGAGUUCUUUGGGUCUCAGAACCAGGAUAAUAAUGACAUCUUGGCCUACUGGUUAUCCAAUGCUUCAACUCUUCUCCUGUUGCUCCAGCGCACUCUGAAGGCAAGUGGAGCCGCUGGGAUGGCUCCACAACGACGUCGAUCAUCUUCAGCUACUCUCUUUGGGAGGAUGACACAAAGUUUCCGAGGGGCCCCUCAAGGAGUCAAUCUUUCCUUAAUAAAUGGUGGCACUAGUGGUGGUGUGGAUACCUUGCGGCAAGUUGAGGCCAAAUACCCAGCCUUGCUGUUCAAACAGCAGCUCACAGCAUAUGUAGAAAAGAUUUAUGGAAUGAUUCGAGAUAAUCUGAAGAAAGAAAUAUCACCACUGCUUGGGUUGUGCAUCCAGGCACCAAGAACGUCCAGAGCAAGCUUAGUUAAAGGAUCAUCACGUUCAGUUGCCAACACUGCAGCCCAACAAGCUUUAAUUGCACACUGGCAAGGAAUAGUCAAGAGCCUUGGAAAUUUCUUGAACACUCUGAAAGCAAAUCAUGUACCCCCGUUCUUAGUUCGAAAGGUGUUCACACAAAUAUUUUCCUUCAUCAAUGUUCAACUAUUCAACAGCCUUUUAUUGAGGAGAGAAUGCUGUUCAUUUAGUAAUGGUGAAUAUGUUAAAGCUGGAUUGGCUGAACUGGAACAUUGGUGUUACAAGGCGACAGAUGAGUAUGCAGGUUCAGCAUGGGAUGAGCUUAAGCAUAUUAGACAGGCAAUUGGGUUCCUGGUCAUACAUCAAAAAUCAAAGAAAACACUUGAUGAAAUUAGUCAUGAUCUAUGCCCGGUCCUCAGUAUACAACAGCUUUAUCGUAUCAGUACAAUGUACUGGGAUGACAAGUAUGGCACGCAUAGUGUGUCUUCGGAUGUGAUAUCCAAUAUGAGGGUUUUGAUGACAGAAGACUCAAACAAUGCAGUUAGUAAUUCUUUCUUGUUGGAUGAUGAUUCAAGCAUCCCAUUUUCGGUUGAUGAUUUGUCAAAGUCGAUGGAACAGAUAGAUAUUGCAGACAUUGAACCGCCUCCUCUUAUUCGUGAGAAUUCGGGCUUUAGUUUCUUGUUGCCACGUUCUGAUUAAUCACCACCACCAUUAUAGAGACAGUAGCAACGAAUGGUGUCGCUCUAGCAGUCUCAGUAGGUUGCAGCUACAAACAGGAAUGUAUUUGGCUCCCUAAUCAAUGGAACAACAAAUAUUCUCUCAUGAUUGUACAACUAGCUUAACUUUAAGAAGGAAAGAAAUGCUCUAUUUUGUUGAGAAUGUGUUCUUCGUGGCUCUCCGGGAUCUACCCUUCUAAGUUUAUUAGGGUUCUAGCAGAGGUAUCAUUUCUGCCAUCAAUGGUGGAACGUCCUUCCAUCCAUUAUUCUUCAGUGGCCGUUUAACUGUUAAAAAUAUGAUAUCUCGGCAUGCUGGAGUUCACGUUGGUGAAGAAAGAAACGAAAGGCAGCGAACAAGCAGCCCUAGCAUCAAUUCAGCUGCCAGUUGCAUCCUACGUUAUGAAAAUUACAUUGAACCCCCAACUCCCAUUUUCUUACUCAGUAUGAACAAAGGUAAUAGAAUCAGCAACAUAGCUAUUAGCAACUGGACAAACAGUGUAGUGAAGUACUUCCUAUGGUAAAAGGGGCAAGCAGAUUGGCUGAUUAGUAA